GAUGAACGCUAGCGGGAGGCCUAACACAUGCAAGCCGAGCGGUAGAUCUUCUUCGGAAGAUUGAGAGCGGCGCACGGGUGCGGAACACGUGUGCAACCUGCCUUUAUCUGGAAGAUAGACCACCGAAAGUUGGAUUUAUAUUCCAUAAUAUAUUGAUUGGCAUCAGUUAAUAUUGAAAGCUCCGGCGGAUAAAUAUGGGCACGCGCAAGAUUAGAUAGUUGGUGAGGUAACGGCUCACCAAGUCUGCGAUCUUUAGGGGGCCUGAGAGGGUGAUCCCCCACACUGGUACUGAGACACGGACCAGACUCCUACGGGAGGCAGCAGUGAGGAAUAUUGGACAAUGGGUGCAAGCCUGAUCCAGCCAUCCCGCGUGAAGGAUUAAGGUCCUAUGGAUUGUAAACUUCUUUUCUACAGGGAUAAACCUAUUUACGUGUAAAUAGCUGAAGGUACUGUAGGAAUAAGCACCGGCUAACUCCGUGCCAGCCGCCGCCGUAAAAC
rnacentral:rRNA from 1 species